CACAAGUUAAUACAACGUCACGUGUUUGAUCGCAUAAUUUCAAUAUAUAAUUAUAUUAUUUAUAACAUUUAUAUAAUGAUAGAGUUAAUAUAUUUGUGCAAUUAAUUCGCUUCAAUAUAUACAGCUAAUUCAAAAAAGGUUGUCCUUUGCAAAACCUUAACUCUAAACCUUAAACUCUAAGCGCGCAAAGCUUAAUGGGAGCACAAGUUUCAAGCUCAGUAGUUGAAUAUUGCAGCUAUUUGUGAAUGCAUUGUUCUCGUAAGGAGAUAUUUACCAUGAUUUCGAAACUGAUUAAAUUAUGCUCCCAUUAGGCGUAAAAAAAAUACCUGUGGUUCCGGUUCCGGACCGACCCUAUUUUUUUCUGCCGACCCUAUUAUUUUUUCAACGCGAUUGACCGUGCCAAAAUGGCGUCUGUUGUCACACUAAUUAUUGAACCAAAUUGCCUAUCCGUCCAUAGGAAAUACGCAACUCUAGUUAAUAUUGAUGUCGGAACUCUACUGCAAAUCGCCCAGGAAAAAACCGCCAAAACCAUGAAAAAAAUAUUCAAAAAAUAUUUAUUUCCGACCUACCGAUCCUAAUUUUUUUACGAUAUGAAACCGGAACCAUAGGUAUUUUUUUUACGCCUUAUGCUUUGCACGUUUAGAGUUCAAGGUUUAGAGUUUAACGUUUGCAAAUGACGUUUUUUGAAUUAGCUGUAUUUAACAAUUAUUCGCCGAAGGCGAGGUGAUUAUCGGUGAAUAAAAACCGAGACAAAGUCGAGGUUUUUAUUCACGAUAAUCAUCGAGCCUGAGGUGAAUAAUUGUUUUAGUAUAAUUUCAUAGGUGAUUAUUUGGAAAAAAAUACACUUUUCAAAAACUGUCCUUUAUAUAAUAAACAGAAAAAUACAUAGAUGCUUGAAAAUACCAGAUUUAUUUCUCGUGUUGAACAUGAUAUCUCACUCGUUCUCUGCGCGCUCACUCGUGAGAUAUCAUGUUCAACUCUCGAAAUAAAUCUGGUAUUUCCGCGCACCCAUGUAUUAUUCUCUAUAUACUGUAAUCACCUCAACGGCAACCAAUCAGCAUGAAGAAUUUUCAAUAAUCAGCUAUGUAAUUAUACUAAAUAUAUGUAACAGGGCAUUAUACUCUUUCAUAUUAACAGUUUUGCCAAGAACUUCAGCAAGUCUCUCGCCUGCCGCGCAAAUGCAGCUGGAAGCACUCUUCUCAAAAUGGGAUAGUUGUAUCCCUACCAACCCAGUCCCAAGGCUUGUUAGCUAUAUAAUCUUCCACUCGAUAUUUCAAUCCAUUUACUAAAACCUUCAACUAUUCAGAUUAUUGCAUGGAUAUUGCAACCAGUGUGUCCCCAUCACCCCCACCUUACUGUCGUUCCAAUUGAAGUGUUCCUCAAAUAUUGACUCAAUACAUUACCUCAGGCUGACCAAUUCAUUUCAUCAAGUUCCUCGAGAUAUUCAUAUAGACUUCCUGUGAAAGAGCCAAUUCCAAGAAUUU